rnacentral:misc_RNA from 1 species
GAUGAAGAACGCAGCGAAAUGCGAUAAGUAAUGUGAAUUGCAGAAUUCAGUGAAUCAUCGAAUCUUUGAACGCACAUUGCGCCCGCCAGUAUUCUGGCGGGCAUGCCUGUUCGAGCGUCAUUUCAACCAUCAAGCCCCAGGCUUGUGUUGGGGACCUGCGGCUGCCGCAGGCCCUGAAAACCAGUGGCGGGCUCGCUGUCACACCGGGCGUAGUAGAUUUUAUCUCGCUCAGGGCGUGCUGCGGGUCCCAGCCGUUAAAAGCCUUUUUUUACCCAAGGUUGACCUCGGAUCAGGUAGGAAGACCCGCUGAACUUAAGCAUAUCAAUAAGCGGAGGA